AUUGAACGCUGGCGGCAGGCUUAACACAUGCAAGUCGAGCGGGGGAAGGUAGCUUGCUACCGGACCUAGCGGCGGACGGGUGAGUAAUGCUUCGGAAUCUGCCUAUUAGUGGGGGACAACAUAUCGAAAGGGAUGAUAAUACCGCAUAUGUCAUAUGGGAGAAAGAAGGGGAUUCUGGGAACUUGCGCUUAUAGUGGAGCCUCAGUCGGAUUAGCUAGUUGGUGGGGUAAAGGCCUACCAAGGCGACGAUCUGUAGCGGGUCUGAGAGGAUGAUCCGCCACACUGGGACUGAGACACGGCCCAGACUCCUACGGGAGGCAGCAGUGGGGAAUAUUGGACAAUGGGGGGAACCCUGAUCCAGCCAUGCCGCGUGUGUGAAGAAGGCCUUAUGGUUGUAAAGCACUUUAAGCGAGGAGGAAGCUACUUUAGUUAAUACCUAGAGAUAGUGGACGUUACUCGCAGAAUAAGCACCGGCUAACUCUGUGCCAGCAGCCGCCGUAA
rnacentral:rRNA from 1 species